rnacentral:rRNA from 1 species
UCCAGGCAGUCCCAAAAUAUUAGUCAAUGCUCGAAAGAGUGAACUAGCUAACUGAAAUCAAUUAUAAUAAUUGAUAACAUAAGGGAAAAAGAAUGAUAUUACCUUAUUAUUAGUGUCGUCCAAAUCUGGUGCCAGAAGACUCGGUAAGGCCAGAGACACGAACGUUAAUCGUCUUAAUCAGGCGUAAAGGGUUUGUAGGCGGCUUUAAAAUUUAUUUAUAUUAAUAUUAUAAAAUAAAAAAUAAAAGCUAGAAUCAAAAAGAGGAUAUAUUAAAGAAUGCUUAGAGUAGGUCUGAUAUCCUUAGAUACUAAGUAGAAUAUUAAAGGCGAAAGCUUUUUUCCAUUAAUGAUUGACGCUCAGAAACGAAGGUGAGGAUAGGAAAUAGGAUUAGAUACCCAAAAUACCCCUCUCUGUCAACGAUGAAUGGUAAUUAUUAGUAAAAAUUUUAUUAAUGAUAAUGUUAACACGAUAACCAUUCCGCCUUGUGAGUACAACUGCAAAGUUGAAAACAAAAAAAUUAGUCGGUUUCGGAGCAAACGAAGUGAAGCAUGUUAUUUAAUUCAAUU